GGUCGCCUUCGCAGCAACCGAGAAAAUCCAAAGUUUCGCAGUGCCUCCCGGUACGCCCGGUACUUGGAAAUGCCAUUAAAACUCAUCGCUCAUCCGGUUAAUCAAUUAUUGAAAAUUAAAUUAACGUCGAGUGGUUCGGUGGUGGUGGUGGUGAUGGUUGUGCUCCAAAGUUUUCAUCAAGGAUCGGAGCUGAUGUUUAAGUUAUUGGUUCCAUUUUAAUCGCCAAAAACAAGUGUGCUGCCAGCAUUUCCGCCGUGAGGACAGGACCAGUUUGAUGCAUAAUUCGUACACAUGCGGGGUUUCGGGUAAAGCUGUUUUGCUACCCGUUUUUCGGGUGGUUUUAAAUCGUCGAAUCGAUGAAUCCGAUAGCUCGAAGGGUGAAGUUGUUGUUUUGCGGGCGGUAGAACACAAGCACGGGAGUUCCUUGACGAACUAGCGAUGUACAACGAGGUAAAGUUUAACCACUACCGCAAACACUUGCCGGUACAGUCGGGGAAGGAUGGUAGAAUCAUUUAAAAUACAUGUCCUGACCACAGUCGGUGGCCCCAAAACCACCGAAUGAUGUCGAUCGGGAGGGUUGCAGGAAUUCAUGAUAAGAGUUUUUUUUUCUCCCUUUCUGUCCCUUAAAGUUCGAUCGGCUCAGAACGGAUAGAAACGGUGUGGAUUAAGAUUAAGAAGCACCUUUUACGGUGGAAAUGAUACAUGAAUCAACACUUGCACCUGCGAGGUUGUUGCCGAUGGCGUUGCACAAGAAAACGAGGUCGAUGGCGUGUGGACUAGGGGAAAUCGGAAGUGCUUUCAAAGACUUUUUUGUAGCUGUGUUGGCGCACAACAAGCACAACCCAGUAUCACCGUGCAGGAAUCAGAAUUGAAUUUGCUGGCCGGGCCAAAGCGAAGGAAUGUUUUGGGAAGGUAGGGAAAAAUCUAAACAAUUUUAAUUUUCAUCGAACGAAGAACAGCACUCGACAGCCAUUGCAGCCAAUUGCUAUGCUGGUCGUUGCGGAAGACCGACCGCCCUGCUGCUGCUGACCGUAUGGAAUGCUUGGCUCCAAUUGGUACGACCAAACAUUGACCGAGGGUGACGUAUCGGGUGGAAUUUUUGGAGUGUGAGGAAAAGAAAGGGGGAAAAAAAAUCUUCGGUUUGAGGAAGUGAACACUUCUUCCGUUUGGUCGGUUGGUUUGCGAAAAUGCCUUCGAGUUGGAUUUAUUUAUUUAUUUGUUUUUCCUUCACACUUUUCAGCGGUACCAGCAGCACCUAACAGACGGACAUUUUAUUUCCAACACCAUCACGAUGGCUUUCCUUUUUUUUUACUUCCACUGGUAUUAUUAUUUCGGCACACAUAGGGUUUUCUUUAUUUUUCGCCUCAGCGCAUUUUGUCACCCAUUUGCUCGGAGCGUUCGGGUUCGCCGGCGCGAUGGAUGGCGAAUUUAACGGCGACAACCGAACGCGUCAAAUGCGAUGCUUUAUUUCGCCAAAACCGGCCGGUGGUGCAUGAACCCUUUUCUGCUUUUUGGGAUUUUUUUGGAUUUCGUUCGUUCGCUCGUUUGUUUAUUUGUGCCAAUUGAAAAGUGCUUCUGAAAAGGGGUGGGUAUCGUUCCGGAGUGGUGGGAUUCGGUGGUUACGGAGCUUUUCCACUGGACUUUUUGAUUAAAAUUCUUUACACAAAACCACACCGUCGGUGGCAUAGUGGUGGGUUUUUUGGAGGCUUUUUGCUGUUGUGCGCUUGCUUGCCGGAGUGUUGUUUUAUUACAUUCCAAGUAGCUGCAAGAGCAUCUUGGGUCUUGAAGGAAAAUUGCUACAUCCAGCAUGAACGUUGUUUUCGUUGUGUAAAAAUUGAUAGUAUUAUGUAGUGCAGUAACUGAAAAUGAUUAUGAUUUUUUUUUUUACUAAAUCAUCAUUAUUUUGUUAUAAAUUCCAAUUUCAUCCAGCAUGGUGUAAGGCUUCAUUUGUCCCAGUCUUAAGCAGGAAGGUACUCUAUAAAAUAAAUUUUAUAACGAUAAGAAAAAACAUCAAAUCAUCUCUUCCUUCAUUUUGUGUUCAAAAACUGUAGAAUAAUUUUAGGAGCUUUAAAUUCACUACUUUAUAACGGAUAAGUUCUGCAAGACAGUAAGAAAGGCUUAGGAUAUCAGAUAUUUUGUAUCAGAUUCUUGAACCAUGUACAAUUUUUUGUGAGCUUCUCAAUAAUAAGAGAAAACCUUUUCAACAACGAACUAUGUACCCUCAAAAAAAUAUGCCGUAUUUCAAUAGGCUGGUAUUAAAUCGCAGAAAUAAAUUUAAACAUUAUUCUUUCCUUCCUUGGCUCUUCAACCUCGACAGGUAUCGGCCCACCAUUACAGGCGUUCUGUGACUUAAUUUUACCCCUCGCUAGGUUGACGGGAUUUGAACCCAGGUCUUGUCGUGUGAAGACCAGUGCGCUUAUUGCCUCUGCCAUCGGCAUAGCUAAUAAUAUUUAAAGAAAGUUCCUUUAGCAGAGUUUUUUCUAACCUUUUACCUUUUACUUAACCCUGUUCGGAAGACAAGCUAUCUAGUUACGGGUUAAAUCAAGUCACACGGAACCAUACAUGACCGCCCGCGAACUUUAAAGGUUAUAGUGCCAAGGAAGAAGAACGAACCAUGACUUUCUAUUAUUUGUGAAACUAUUUUAAGCUUUAAAAUACAAAAAAAACUGUUUCAGUCACAUAGAACCACGUUACCCUACGAAACGCAAUAAAAACCGUCCCACACGUCACAAUUUUCAUUAAAACUUUCCGUUAAUCUUUGCUAAGCAUAUUAGCUUCAUACUCCUUUCGCAACAAAUGUCAUCCUCAGGCGAAGUCGCGUCGAGUCAACAAGUCUCUCUCCCUCUCUCGCGCUUCAACCCACCACGUUCAGGCCAGUAAGUUAGGUUAAAAAUUACACACAAUUUCAAACAGACGUGGCGCUUGUCACAUAAGCGUUCAGAUUGUGCUCACCGCUUCCUACCACGCAUCCAAGCGCAAAGGCGCUAAAUUAACGUCCUUCCCGAAGGUUGACGUGUUCUACUCGUUUAAACUUUAAUUAUACUCCGUGCCACGGAUCCCGACCUCAAAGCACAAAAAAAAAACUGGGUAAGAAAAGUUCUGGCCAGGAUGAUGUUACUAGGACGGUCAUAAACUGUUCCUGGGCACGAAUCAAACCGACGGCGUGAAGGGUGGGUUGGAUCGGCGUUAUGGUCGAGGUGUAAAAUACAAUUUCCUUCCCAAGCAGUUUCGUUCCGGCCUUCAACCGGGCCAACCAUGACUUGGCGCCUUCUCGAUGCCGGAUGUAAGGUGGGUUGUGAAGGCAAAUGCACCUUGCACCGUGCUGCAAACCCAUCGCUGACAACACACAAAAAAAGGGGCAAAUGAACAACAGAACUAACUGCAGCAGCUCCGGCUGCAUUUGAUUCCGGAUGAGCUUUCCCAUUUUCCGGGAAAAUGGGGCAGGAAGGUUGUGCUUGGGUUUAAAAAAUGUUUCCUUUUCCCUGUGCAUUGCAAUUACUGUCAAACCACCACUCCAGCACCACUUCGCUCCCCAUUCACAAGUUUCCGUCCGGCAAAGAUCUAUGUUUCGAUCGCCGGACGAUCCCGGAGACGCCGGGGCGAAAAGCGAACAGCGAAGCCAAGUGGAAAAUCACUUUUCAAUUAAAAAACUUUUUUAUUAGUUUUUAUUUGUACAACUUCUUUUCACAUUCCCAUGCGCAACCCUUCCCGUGGUGCAUGCCAGGGAAAAAUGUUGGGAAAACAUAAUAAAAGAAAGGAAACGUAUGCAACCGGACGGCCAACAUUGUGUGAGUGCGCGCGUUUGGGAGAGGGUGUUGAGCUUGUUUGCAAACCAGCAUUCGUGGUAACCAGGCAAAUACUGCUCUUUGCAAGCGUGCUUUAAAUUACGCGCUCUGAAAAUGGGAAAACUUUCCUUCUUGCUGACCCACUUUCACACCCCUCCUGCGGUCGAGCAGCUAUCGUCGAUCGUCCCAAGCGAUUACUGCGAGUGAAUGAUUGCAGAUUGCAGCAUUUUUAACUGGCUCUCCUCGAGUCCGUUGUUUGCAGUGGCCGGAGCGAGCAUGGAUUGCAUGGAACAUGACGGCGGCGUUCGUUUGAUUGUUGUUUGAGGAACGGUUUUAUUUGAAGCUCAUUCUCGCGUAAACGGGGUUUGGAGUGCAAAGAAAUGGUCGGCAUAGUACGCUUCUUUUUGCAAACAUUUUCUUAAUUGCAUUUUUUUCGCAGUUGGACAGUAUUUGUUGAAGAAAUCAGACUCAAAAUACGACAGAAAUCUAUUUUUUUUUUUAUUCAUAAAGAACGGCCUGGCCGUAUUGCUAACAGAAAUCCAUUGUUAACUCAAAAUUAAGCAAGUACAACGAUUUAUUCAUUAUUCAAAUAACCAGCAUUUGUAACAGACACAUGUUUUGGUUGUUGUAUUUAAAACAAAAGGUUAACUUCGAAUUUGAUGCAAAUUUGUCACAGUUCUUACAUUCUAGGUGCGUUCUACAAAAUUUAAGUAUUAUUAAUCCUUCUCAAAUGGACUUCCGGCACUUAGAGAUGACCCAAGUCAUAGCUUUAAGCUGUCUCAAAAACAAAAAAUCAUAAGCAAACAGCUCGUUCAACUAUCAGCUUUUCCCCCAUUUUGGUUAAAAAUAUUGAAGAAGACUUUCCGAUUGAUGAAUGGCCAACAAAUCUAUAAGUUGUUGCUGAGGGAAGUAGAGAGUAUAUUAAAUUAAAGACGCAAUGUCGGCUAUGUAUUCCUCACAGACACAACACUGGCUAGAAAUUUUGCAUGCCUUCAAUCUUGAACUAGAGCUUCUUGGACAAGUGGCCAGAUGCCCUAAUCCUAUUCUUCAAGGUAUAGAGCGAUCUAGCUCAUAGUUUUGGUUUAUCUCUCUCUAGAUUUACUCCACUCUCAACUGGCUCCUAGGGGCUGUGUGGUCGAGGCAAUUACGAUACUGGUCUUCUCAUGGCAGGACCGAAGUUCAAAUCCCCUCUUCCGAAACCAGAUAUGUUAGGCCAAAACCUUUCGAGAUUUGAAACACAAAAAAAGAAGAAGCUGCCCUGGAAGACCCCAUUCAAUAUUCUCAAUUUUCUCUAAAAAGAAAAGUUUUGAAGAAAAUCAUUAGGUUUCGGGUAGAGAUCUGGACUAAAUAAUAUCCAAAAGUUCAAAAAACGAAAACAUUGUCUCUAUUUAAUUUCUCUUCUGUUUUUCUAAUGAAGUAUGCUGGCUUAAAAAAUAACAGCCAUAUUUUUACAGACAUCGCGUUCAAUAUUCAAAAUUAAUUAUUUGAAGUAUAAAUACUGUAGCACUGCACAUUGAAAAUCAUGUAAAAUUAUCUGUUUUCAUUUACUUUUUUGCCAAAUUCGAUUUGCUUUUUUAUGAUAAAAAUUAGAUCUUAAAUAUUCUGCUCCAUAUCAUAAUCAAUAAUUUGUUUUCGCAAGCAGAAAUUCUAUUCUAACCAUGAUAUGCACGUUUUCCGAGAAAGCUAGGAUUUUUGUCUACAUUCAAAUUAGCUCUACGGCAAGAGCAAAACAAAAAACCAACACCACAAAACCACAAAAAAAUGUAAACAGCAUCAUCAAAACCACCAAAAAUCCAACCUUCAACCAGCCAGCCCACCCUGCCGAACGGGGCGCAUGGUGCAAAAGAAAAGAAUCAAAUCCCUUCCUAUUAAGCCACUGUGACUUCCUUCCUGGCGGCCGUUCCGAAUCCGGCCGAACUAAUAGCAUCCGCACAGCCCCCGUACGAGAUCUUGCCCGCGCACAGCAAGCAUGCGGUUUUGGCGAUUAGGAUGAUGACUGUUGCAAAGUGGAAAUCGCUGUGUGGAAAGUCAAACGCCGUGUGGCCGUUUAUGACGUUCUACGUUCUCUUGUUCCCCAAACGGAGGGAAAUGAUUACGUGGCGUUAUUACUUUUUCUUAUGCUUCCUUUCACAUGGUGUGUGUGUGUUUUUCUCAUCCUAAAUCCCCUUUUAGCGUGCCUCACGCUACAUGACAAGAUGGACGGGGCACCCUCCGAAGACGAGGCAGAAGAUGUCUUUUUUAAAGAUAUUUGAACACUCUAAUCGUCUGGGUUUGAUCGUUUCCGGGAUGGGGUUUGCUCAAAUGUGUGUGCGUGUUUUUUUUCUUCUUCUUCGUUUUGUUUUGCAUCAUCUUCAUCAUCUGUAAAGAUGAAAAAUGGUUGACUUUUUGCCGGGUGCUUCCUUCACUGCCGAUGACAUAUGAAUAGAUGGAAAUGAAAAGCGAGCAAACAUGGUAGCAAAAUAUCGAGAUUUACCAUGAUCUGAAUGGGAAGUUCUCGGAAAAGGGAACUGUUCCAUAUCUGGGUUCGCUGAGAUGGAAACGUUAUAUCUGUUUCUAUUGAACCAGAAAUGAUCGAUCGACACAGCCGGUAGAGAUUAAAAUAUAUGACUUAAAGGGGGUAGCAUUCGGGAUUUGGGUCUUAUAAAUAAAGCAUUAAACUGGUCAUUAAUGUAAGUAUUCCUUUUAUUUUUAGUAAGGGAAUUCGAAAACAGUUGGUGAAGUUUUCUAUAAUGUAGAAAAGUUCAUUUACUGUGUGAAAAGUGUACAUGAAUUGCAAGCAUUCCACAAUGAUGUUGACUAACACUUUCAAGAGAACCUUCAUUACUGCCGAUAUUUCUUCCUCAGCAAAGAGCUCUUAAUGCCAUAACGAAGUUUCCACAAAAUAAUUUGUUAAGUAAGUGGCUGUCCACUAUAUUACUCCGGAUCUCAUAAGAAUAAAAAGAAAGCAAACACUUCAACCCCGUAAACUAUCUUGUUUUCCCAGAGCAAGCUCAUGUAUUACCACCACCUUUUCGCUAUCAUUUUCCCCACCUACUCACUGGACAUUACAUUACAAAACUUCGGCUCACCAAGAGGGAACAAAAACUCUCAUCAUUUUUAAAGCAUUGCAUCCUUAUCGGUAUGAAGCACAUGAAAAAAGCAACCAACGGUGAAACCAGCUAAUGUGUCCACUCCGGUCCGUUCCGUGCAGUUUAAGUGUUUGCCAGCAAAAUUGCAGCAUCCUCUCGUUGCACAAACUUGGCUGAAACAUCGUUAGUAUCACUGUGGUGUUUCCUUCAGCUAACCCAACUUAGCUGCGGUUAACAAGUAGCAGUGAUACCGACCGGAGCUAAAAAGGACGAGCUCUAACACCAACCACACCGGCUAAACUCUUACCUUUGCCACACCACAAUCUUACGCCUCACGGGACAACGCUGCCCACCAGAAAACCCAUCCUGCACCGAGACUUCGGGGACAUAAUAAAACCACCGUGAGGUUUGCACGGUGGCCGGAACCGGCGGGGAGCAAAAUGUGAAAAGACCGUGGCAAAAGUGGUUGAUAUAAAUUAUUUACAGCUUUUGCGGUUAGGGAGCAAGUAUGGUUCCGGCUCUUUUUUUGUUUUGUUCUGCAUUAUAUGUACCGCUCCAAGCACUCGGCACGAGGUAGGGGACAACGGUCACAGAGUUAGAGUCAGGCUGGUCCGACAACGUACCACGAUCACCCUGGGGAAAGAUUCCUGUGCAUCCUCGGCGGGUUUUGCCGGAUGUGACGGGUGUACAGAGGGACGCGCUAUAACAAAAAAGAAACAUUAACACAAGCACUAGCGUCCGUCUGGAAACCGAGAGAGAGAGAGAAUAAAAUUUGUUGUAAAUUACCUUUAAUGCGUUCAAUGUAUGCGACUGCGGCUGGGCAAGGCACGGGAGAAGCACCUUUGGGUACCGUCUAAUUUAUGGGCGUAGAUGGCAAAGGAGGAACGGUAGAAUUUCCAGCCAUUUAGCAUCAACCAACGAAUCGCGGCCAAGUCCUUGAGGUAUACUUUAAUGUGGCAGUUGGACUGCUUGACUUAUUUAUUCGGGUAACUCCCAUAUUUGCAAGGUUUUUGCUAGCAGAGAUAGCUUCUUUUAUACUUAUUGUGAUACUUGAGAUGCUAUAUGUAAGAGCACUCUUUAAAAAAUGAUAAGGAAGUGUUUUCAAGAAGAAUCUUCACGAAAACCCACUUUAAAAUAAUGCUUUGUUCUAAUAUAUUUAACGAAGAGUUGCCAUAAAUCUUUUUUUUUUUAAUAUCUGGAAAUGAAUUUCUGGCCGGUGUGGGAACCUUCGGGAUAUUGAAGACCUCUAAAAUUGGUUCUGGUAAAAACCAGAAAAGGGCGCUUGAGAUAAUGUGAAGAGCCAACUCUCUUUCGUAAUGCUUAAUGUUAGAUUUAUUGAAUCAUCAUUAAUAAUUGUUUCUCUCUAAUUGCAGUUCUCACCCGCCAACAAAAUAUGGCCCACUGGAAGCUCUUCCACCAGAAGUAACAGUAACCCAUUGCCAUAUGCGUAAUGUGUUUAUUUAAGCAGCUUUUAACACCGCAUUCAUAAAAUCUUUCCGAGCGUUAAGCCCACUCAACUAAACAUCAGUUGCAGUCAGCAGGCGGCUAAUAUGUUUAAAUUGGUUUGCAUGUGAUUCAAUUUUGAAUGGAACGCUAUAUCUCAUAAUGUCCGUACUCCGGGCCGAGAUCGAUGAUAGCCCGUUGACCUGAAUGAUAUGCUCCACCAUUACGUUCUGCUCUCUGUUCGGUUCUGUCACCAAUCUCCGGCAGAUUCUCCCACUUAAGGGUGUCGGAAAUUAGUUUAAACAUGAAACAAUUACCCUCCGAUUGCAGCAAAGCGUUGAUGGAAACCCGUCUCCAGCCCAACCCCAACCCCAGAGACACUAGACAAACGCUCCCGUGCAAGGAAUACUAAUGCCGCCCGGCUUGAAGACGCACGAACCAAGAACCUUGAAGGGUUCGCACGACAAGAAGCAGAAUGGCUAAUCGGAAUCAGUGUCAUAGAUCUGAUCUAAUCACGUCUGCUGCAAGCGCUGUGGCGAAGAGCGACGUUGGGCGCUGCACAAAAUUAAACACGGAAGAGCCAAAGACAAGCAGAUGGUGUGUGUGUGUGUCUGUCCCGGAGCAAGAUCGAUGCAUUACGGGCAGUGUUUGGCCGGUUAUGUACGCUCCAGUGGCACAGGUGCAAGAAUUGCAUGUUCUCGCAGCUGCCAGCAAGCAAGCGGCAGUAGCAGGAUGCAGCACCGGCCAUCUUCAAGAAGAAGAAGGAGACCCCCAAGCGUACAAUGCUAAUGGUGUCUAAAAUAACACGCUGCUUCUUUCACCAGGUUUGAGGCGUAAUGGAGAAUGUGGAAGAAAUUUAAUUUGAUUUGUUAUCGUUUCAGGAAACCGUGCAGCCAGGAGACCGAGUGCUGGGGAAGAUGCAGGUCUGUGAUUGAGUUGCUGGUCGGUGCGAGCUGCCGGGGCCGGCUAGCUUUCGUGCUCAGAAGACGACCCCUAGACGCAUCAGACCUAGCCGGAACCAGACAGGUGGUGCAAUUUGUGGGUUAUAAUGAGACAAGCGAAACCAUCCGAGCCGAGUGGUGGCGAGAAGCGAGCAGACGAAGAAGAUGAAGGCUGAGUAGACAACACAUCCGGUCCGAUUCCUCGUGGAAAGCGGGGAAGCUUUUGGGGUGUUUGAAGUGCCUUUCUAUGGUGGUGGAUUCGUUGAAGUUGGUCUGUCGAUAGGGCAUCGACAGCUACACCCGUACCUGUCAAGAGCGACAGGGCGUAUCCAUUUCCCGAGCGUACUCGUGGCUUGCCUCUUGUCGGAUAAGAGACGUACACUCGUGUGCCUUCUGACAAUGAAAAGAGCACAAAGGCCCCCUUGAGCUGUUAUAUGGUAAAAUGUUGUUUGAAGAACAGAAGCAACUGCUACUCAGCGCUUCAGGUGCGUACCACACUCUCGUUCUCCCUGAAGUGUCUGUAUCUUUUGCCGGGCGAGGAUCAUAGAAAUGCCACCCAAGAGCGCGCUUGGGGUAUCUAUUGCACGAUCUAAGCCCUCCCGCCGUCGCACCGUAGGGCACACACAUACACACACGUCAAACUAGCUCGGGAAACAAUUGAAUUUCAUAAUAAAACAAUUGAAUUAACGAAACAAAACAGACUGCUCUACUGCGAGCUGAGGGGAUCCGUGAUGUAGAACAGUGUCAUUGAAGCCCGGCUCCUGCUCAGAGUUUCUCGCGUAAAAGAGCUCCCGGGGUUUGGUCGUGGGUUGGUGUUGAAACUAUCAAACAGCACAGCCGAACCCGUAUGCCGUAAAACCAUUUACCACCACAAAUAUGCCCGUAAGCGAAAGGCGAAAGAUUAAGACUUACUCGUGUCGGAGCUGACACGCCGGUGAGAACGACGCUCGGCUGAAAACUUCUUCUCCCGCGUGUGGGUGCAACGGCUUUUGGGGAAUGAAAUUUAAAUAUUUUUCCCCCCAUACUCUACCUAUGGGGUUCCUGGACGGUUCGGCACACACAGCGCUUCGCUCGUUCAUACUAUGGGCCAGAGACGUACAACUAGUGAUGGAGGAGCGAAUGUUUAUCUUUCACAACACAACGCCCGGUUAAGCUACUACCUACCUAGCUGGGAUCCGAAAGGAUGUCUUUAGCUCGAACAAAAGUUCGAGCACCGGCAAAGGCUUCGGGAGCCAGCAGGACGAAAGCUCAGCCGUACAAUAUCCUUAUGGCUGGAGGCAGUUUGCUCCCUUUAAGCUACCGUUUGCAAAUCCGAUUGUGGCAGCUCGUUUGACUGCUUCUGUCUGAGCCAUUCCAGCAGACGGAAGGCCCCUUUGCCAAGCAGUAUCAGUUCCCCACGGGAGCGCAAACUUCGAGCAAGUUCUUCCGAUUUUUGUACCUCAUUUUUCAACCAAAGAAAAAAAAGGAAAGUCCCCCUCGGGUGAGGCUCUUCCAUCACCGGGGAGUAGUAGUCCCACCACCACCCGGGAAAGACAUGCAUAUUUAUUAGUUUUAUUUCUUCGUCUUUUAUUUUUUACUCUUUGUUGCUCGUGCUGGUACGUGUGCUCCAUUCUCAAUAGGAUGGAAACCGAUUGGGCGGUGUUGGCGGACACGUUUCUCCGUCUCUCGUUUUUCUUCUAUAUCUGCAUGUAUUUAUGGCUUCAAGCAGACAAAAGACAAUGUCAGCGAAAAAAAAAAUCAGAGAAGCGAUUAUCGUGGCACGAAAACCGAAAGCAGUCUCCUGGAGACCUCACCACGUGGUGGAGAAUUUCUUCCGUUUUUUGAACUUAAAAAAGAACUUUAACAUUUUCUUACUGUUAAACCGGAAGAACUGUUUCCUUCUCACCCGUCCCUUUUGUGUCACAAAGAUCUGAGGAGCUGCUCCCGGGUGAGAAAUGAAUAAUCAAACUGACGUUUCCCGAAAGCGGACGUGUAAAUAUUUGCACCUUGCCGACGGACGGUGGCAAACGUUCUACCAUGAUGAACUGACAAAGCAAGUUGUCGGGCUAUUGGCUCUCGUCCCCGGUGUCCUCUAUGUCAACCCCGGUACACCUGGGUGGCUGGGUGGUCCGUUAAGGGGAAAUGAUAUAAAUCACGUCUAUAAAUUUUCCACCAAAUGUCACCUUUGGCGAUUGUGAACGUGAGAGCUGCUGCUCCUGACGGCUCGUGGGAUAUUGUGUGGAAUGGUUCUAAUUUUAAGGGAGCUUUCUAAAAGCUGUUUUUUUGGGUAGAAUCGUAAGUCAAAAGUCUUAAAACUACUGGGGAAUUUUAAAAACUUUUCCUAAAAAUCAUUUACAAAAAUUAAGAUGUUUUUUCAGUAACCAUGCUUCGUUCUAAAAAUAAUUUAAGUAGUUGAAGAGUCAUAAAAUGCAAUUAAAAAUUGUAGGAAAAUUCAAUCAAAGGCUAAGGUACCAGUAAUCUUGCGUAAUCGUAAUUUAAGGACUCAUAAAAGCAAACAGUUUUGAUGGCCAUCUAUUGCAUCAAUUAAUUUAAAUUGAUAUGGAAUGCCUUUCCAGCACUUCUCUUUGAAUUUAAAAAAAAAUUGGCCAAUUAUUCAAGGUUCAUGAAAUUCAAAGAAUAUUAUUCAAAGCAUUAUUGAAAAAAAUAUAUAGUUAAAUAUAUAUUUAACUGAUAGUUGAAACACUUAAAUGAAGUGUUCGAUCCAACAGAAUCGAUCGAAAAAUUAUUUUGUAAAGGCUUCGACACCUUGCCGCAACGUUCUUCCGAUCCGUUGUGCUUCAACACUACGAGCCAAACUUCCAUAAUUGCACUAAUGAAGUUUAAAGCUACGUAGUCAUGAUGCGAGCAAAGUUUUAAUGAGAAGCACAAUUUAUGUGGCAUUGUUUGCUCUCGAAACCCCAAUUACGUAUGCUCGCAUGCACAAUUUCUUCACCGCGCUCUGUUGUGCUAUUAAAUUCUUCGCCUGCAACUUUCACAGGCUUUACCUAUCGACGAUCCCCCGUCGCAGCCUCGUCCGUGCUUUAUGAUGGAAAACUUGUGCUCACCUUCUUACUGGGGGCGUGAGAUACCGGUGUGUAGCCGACUCGUGUGCCGAACGGGGAACAGGCCGUGUACUACCGAUCUGUAAAGAAAGCACAUACAUAAACAUAUUACUAUUCAUUGUUUUACUCACUUUCAGGCACUUUAUUCUACACCCCCUUUGGCAACUGAUGGCUUGCGGGCGGGCGGUGCCCGAGGUGCCCGAGCGAGAAUCAAGAUGAAACACCGACACGUUCACUUGUCAGCAAGAAGGAAGACGCUGCCGGGUCGGAUGUUGCAGUCGCAAGUUUGACGCUGCCGGUUUGUCAUUCGUAAGCGUUUCUCACCGGAUGCGAAGGAAAGGAGCUUUGUGUGUGAGUGUGUGAGUCGGUGCUGAACCCAUGCAAACAUACAAAGUGCUUCUUAAUGGUGUUUCUUGUUAGGGCUCAAUUAACGCAAGCUGCAGGGUUGCGUCUACACGAGCAUUGCAGAGGUUCGUAUCCGUCGUGGUGCCCAUGUACGACCAUUUCUCACCUUCGAUCGCAAUAUUGUUGCACGACAAAGGGCGCACAAUUUUAAGGCAAACAAUUUUGCUCAUUGCAGAUGUGGUUGUUCCCAUAAAUCAAAGUCACUUCUGAUGCAAUAUGCCACCCGGUGCAGGAAAAGUUGAACUUUAGAAAUUUUCAAGAUGGAGUUUCUCUCCUUUAAGUAUUAAACACAUUGCUCAUGUAAAGAAGUGUUACAAAGAUGUCCUUUGAAGUAGCCAAAAUUACAAUCCUACGUCAAAUAAGUUCGGAAGGCAAUUUUGUAGUUUGCCAAACAAGAAUUCACAAUAAAAAGGAAAUUUGGGGUUUAACUCCUCACAAAAGCGA